rnacentral:rRNA from 1 species
GACGAACGCUGGCGGCGUGCUUAACACAUGCAAGUCGAACGAAGAGCGACGGAAGCUUGCUUCUAUCAAUCUUAGUGGCGAACGGGUGAGUAACGCGUAAUCAACCUGCCCUUCAGAGGGGGACAACAGUUGGAAACGACUGCUAAUACCGCAUACGAUCUAACCUCGGCAUCGAGGAAAGAUGAAAGGUGGCCUCUAUGUAUAAGCUAUCACUGAAGGAGGGGAUUGCGUCUGAUUAGCUAGUUGGAGGGGUAACGGCCCACCAAGGCGAUGAUCAGUAGCCGGUCUGAGAGGAUGAACGGCCACAUUGGGACUGAGACACGGCCCAGACUCCUACGGGAGGCAGCAGUGGGGAAUCUUCCGCAAUGGACGAAAGUCUGACGGAGCAACGCCGCGUGAGUGAUGACGGCCUUCGGGUUGUAAAGCUCUGUUAAUCGGGACGAAAGGUCUUCUUGCGAAUAGUU